rnacentral:rRNA from 1 species
GUUUACAGCCAUACCACCCUAAACACACCCAGUCCUGUCUGAUCUUGGAAGCUAAGCAAGGUGAGGCCUGGUUAGUGCCUGAAUGGGAGAAAUGAUCAUGAGAAUGAGUCUGUAGAUC